ensembl:snoRNA
AUCCUUUGUGGUUCGUAAGUGUGCUGAUUGGGUUGACAUAGUUGUGUGACAUGGGCCUCCCUCCAAAACUUGCUACAACAUUGGCAAUUACCCUUCUGAUA